rnacentral:rRNA from 1 species
AGAGUUUGAUCCUGGCUCAGGAUGAACGCUAGCUACAGGCUUAACACAUGCAAGUCGAGGGGAAACGAUGAGAGAGCUUGCUCUCUUAGGCGUCGACCGGCGCACGGGUGAGUAACGCGUAUCCAACCUGCCCAUUACAGGGGAAUAACCUUGCGAAAGUAAGACUAAUGCCCCAUGGUAUUCUCAGCAGACAUCUAAUGAGGAUUAAAGAUUUAUCGGUAAUGGAUGGGGAUGCGUCUGAUUAGCUUGUUGGCGGGGUAACGGCCCACCAAGGCAACGAUCAGUAGGGGUUCUGAGAGGAAGGUCCCCCACAUUGGAACUGAGACACGGUCCAAACUCCUACGGGAGGCAGCAGUGAGGAAUAUUGGUCAAUGGACGAGAGUCUGAACCAGCCAAGUAGCGUGCAGGAAGACGGCCCUAUGGGUUGUAAACUGCUUUUAUAGGGGAAUAAAGUGGACUACGUGUAGUUUAUUGUAUGUACCCUAUGAAUAAGGACCGGCUAAUUCCGUGCCAGCAGCCGCGGUAAUACGGAAGGUUCGGGCGUUAUCCGGAUUUAUUGGGUUUAAAGGGAGCGUAGGCCGUAGAUUAAGCGUGUUGUGAAAUGUAGAUGCUCAACAUCUGACUUGCAGCGCGAACUGGUUUACUUGAGUGUGCGCAACGUAGGCGGAAUUCGUCGUGUAGCGGUGAAAUGCUUAGAUAUGACGAAGAACUCCGAUUGCGAAGGCAGCUUACGGGAGCACAACUGACGCUGAAGCUCGAAGGUGCGGGUAUCAAACAGGAUUAGAUACCCUGGUAGUCCGCACAGUAAACGCUGGAUGCCCGCUGUUGGUUCAUUAGAGUCAGCGGCCAAGCGAAAGCAUUAAGCAUCCCACCUGGGGAGUACGCCGGCAACGGUGAAACU